GUCAUCUUCAAAUCCACUUCAACAUGCAGUUGUCUGUGGAGUACAUCAUGUCUUGGGAGCUCCCUUUGAUUUUACAUCUUGUGACAUUCCAAUCAUACGGAGAUGGUGGACUCCAGAUGGUUUUCUCUGAAAGUGCAGAAACCCUACCAGAGGCACUUCCAAUUGGAUAACAGGCUACACUUGUGAGGAGAUCCCAGUAAUCUCACAGAAGUUGUGAAAUGGCUCCAUUAAACAAACAUCUGCUCAGGGGGCCAGGAAGAGCCUCUUUUCCUUAUAAUGGAGAAAGAGGACAAGGAAAAGACCCUCAACAAUCUCCUGGAACAGAAGUUUCCAGAGUGCCCUUUAUAUUUCAUCUUGUGUCCAGGGGAGUUAUUUUUGUAGGAUUGUCACGACAAAAUGU